rnacentral:rRNA from 1 species
GACGAACGCUGGCGGCGUGCUUAACACAUGCAAGUCGAGCGGUAAGGCCCUUUCGGGGGUACGACGAGCGGCGAACGGGUGAGUAACACGUGGGUGACCUGCCUUCAGCUCUGGGAUAAGCCUGGGAAACUGGGUCUAAUACUGGAUAUUACUCUGCGGUGCAUGCCGUGGGGUGGAAAGCCUUGUGCGGCUGGGGAUGGGCCCGCGGCCUAUCAGCUUGUUGGUGGGGUGAUGGCCUACCAAGGCGACGACGGGUAGCCGGCCUGAGAGGGCGACCGGCCACACUGGGACUGAGACACGGGCCCAGACUCCUACGGGAGGCAGCAGGUGGGGAAUCUUGCGCAAUGGGCGAAAGCCUGACGCAGCGACGCCGCGUGAGGGAUGACGGCCUGGUU